rnacentral:tRNA from 1 species
GGAGGGGUGGCAGAGCGGUCGAAUGCGCCGGCCUUGAAAGCCGGAGUCCGGGUUCACCUGGACCGUGGGUUCGAAUCCCACCCCCUCCG